rnacentral:rRNA from 1 species
CCAGACUCCUACGGGAGGCAGCAGUGGGGAAUAUUGCACAAUGGGGGAAACCCUGAUGCAGCGACGCCGCGUGAGCGAAGAAGUAUUUCGGUAUGUAAAGCUCUAUCAGCAGGGAAGAAAAAAAUGACGGUACCUGAGUAAGAAGCACCGGCUAAAUACGUGCCAGCAGCCGCGGUAAUACGUAUGGUGCAAGCGUUAUCCGGAUUUACUGGGUGUAAAGGGAGCGUAGGCGGCGCGUUAAGUCUGAUGUGAAAACCCGAGGCUCAACCACGGGAGUGCAUUGGAAACUGGCGGGCUGGAGUGCCGGAGAGGUAAGCGGAAUUCCUAGUGUAGCGGUGAAAUGCGUAGAUAUUAGGAGGAACACCAGUGGCGAAGGCGGCUUACUGGACGGCAACUGACGCUGAGGCUCGAAAGCGUGGGGAGCAAACAGGAUUAGAUACCCGAGUA